ACGGGAGGCAGCAGUGGGGAAUAUUGCACAAUGGGCGCAAGCCUGAUGCAGCGAUGCCGCGUGAGGGAAGAAGGUUUUCGGAUUGUAAACCUCUGUCAUCGGGGACGAUAAUGACUGUACCCGAGAAGGAAGCUCCGGCUAACUACGUGCCAGCAGCCGCGGUAAUACGUAGGGAGCGAGCGUUAUCCGGAAUUACUGGGUGUAAAGGGAGUGUAGGCGGGACUGUAAGUCAGAUGUGAAAUAUGCCGGCUCAACGGGCAGACUGCAUGUGAAACUGCGGUUCUUGAGUGAAGUAGAGGGAAGCGGAAUUCCUAGGGUGGCGGUGAAAUGCGUAGAUAUUAGGAGGAACAUCAGUGGCGAAGGCGGCUUACUGGGCUUUAACUGCCGCUGAGGCUCGAAAGCGUGGGGAGCAAACGGGAUUAGAUACCCGGGUA
rnacentral:rRNA from 1 species